rnacentral:rRNA from 1 species
UACGAGGGGGGCAAAUGUUGUUCGGAAUCACUGGGCGUAAAGGGAGCGUAGGCGGGCUUCUAAGUUAGGUGUUUAAUCCCGGGGCCCAACCCCGGUCGUGCACUUAAAACUGGAAGUCUUGAAUAGUGGAGAGGUCAGUGGAAUUGGGGGUGUAGCGGUGGAAUGCGUAGAGAUCCCCAAGAACACCAGUGGCGAAGGCGGCUGACUGGACACAUAUUGACGCUGAGGCUCGAAAGCAUGGGGAGCAAACAGG